rnacentral:rRNA from 1 species
AUUGAACGCUGGCGGCAGGCCUAACACAUGCAAGUCGAACGAGUGGCGGACGGGUGAGUAAUGUCUGGGAAACUGCCUGAUGGAGGGGGAUAACUACUGGAAACGGUAGCUAAUACCGCAUACCAUCAGAUGUGCCCAGAUGGGAUUAGCGUGUUGGUGGGGUAACGGCUCACAAAGGCGACGAUCCCUAGCUGUUCUGAGAGGAGGACCAGCCACCCUGUAACGGAGACAAGGUCCAGACGCCUACGGGAGGCAGCAGUGGGGAAUAUGGCCCAAUGGGCGCAAGCCUGAUGCAGCAAUGCCGCGUGUAUGAAGAAGGCCUUCGGGUUGUAAAGUACUUUCAGCGGUGAGGCGUUACCCGCAGAAGAAGCACCGGCUAACUCCGUGCCAGCAGCCGCGGUAAUUC